CCUCAAUGAGUUGUUUUAGAGACAAUCCCAGUAGGGAGUUUAGAAUAUGUGUGCUCCUGGCACAAGCAGCUAUUUUGGUUUUCCAAUUCACAUCAGGAAGAUUAAAGUCACCCAUGAUGAUAACUUCCCCCUUCAUUGUCAUUUUAGCUAUUUCCUCAACUAGUAGAUUAUCCAACUCUUCUAUUUGUCCAGGGGGCCUGUAAAUCACACCUACACGAGUUACUGUGUGAUCUCCAAAUUCUAACGUCACCCAAAAGGGC